CUGUUUCACUGACUGUAGACUGUGGAGUAGUGUGUAAAUGGAUCUUCUGAUGGUAACCCAGUACUGGGCUGAUAAAUGAAUGGAAGUAAAUGGAUCAUCUGAAGGUAACCCAGUACUGGGCUGAUAAAUGAAUGGAAGUAAAUGGAUCUUUUCACAGUAAAAAAAAUCUUUUCAGAUCUUAUUUUUAAUAACGUGCCGAUAGAGGACAGAUACUUCAAAGCAUACUUCCUUUUCAUAAUUGUUUUAUUUUUUUUAACCAUUUGUUUUUCCAUGUAUCUGUUAUUCAACGUGUUUCUGCGGACUAACAGCAGUAAGACCAAAUUCAAUGUUUGAUCAAAUCAUUUGAAGAUAUUUUUUCAAAAGCAAAUAGCUAAAUGAUCCUUGGUAAGACCUUAAAACAAUUCCUGUAACGAGGUCUGUGUGUAGCUGGUGUAGAGGAGUCAGGCGUAGGUGUCAGAGUCGUGUGUAUAGGUGGCAGGUGUCAGAGUGGUGUGUAUAGAUGGCAGGUGUCAGAGUGGUGUGUAUAGGUGGCAGGUGUCAGAGUGGUGUGUAUAGAUGGCAGGUGUCAGAGUGGUGUGUAUAGAUGGCAGGUGUCAGAGUGGUGUGUAUAGAUGGCAGGUGUCAGAGUGGUGUGUAUAGAUGGCAGGUGUCAGAGUGGUGUGUAUAGAUGGCAGGUGUCAGAGUGGUGUGUAUAGAUGGCAGGUGUCAGAGUGGUGUGUAUAGAUGGCAGGUGUCAGAGUGGUGUGUAUAGAUGGCAGGUGUCAGAGUGGUGUGUAUAGAUGGCAGGUGUCAGAGUGGUGUGUAUAGAUGGCAGGUGUCAGAGUGGUGUGUAUAGAUGGCAGGUGUCAGAGUGGUGUGUAUAGAUGGCAGGUGUCAGAGUGGUGUGUAUAGGUGGCAGGUGUCAGAGUGGUGUGUAUAGGUGGCAGGUGUCAGAGUGGUGUGUAUAGGUGGCAGGUGUCAGAGUGGUGUGUAUAGAUGGCAGGUGUCAGAGUGGUGUGUAUAGAUGGCAGGUGUCAGAGUGGUGUGUAUAGGUGGCAGGUGUCAGAGUGGUGUGUAUAGGUGGCAGGUGUCAGAGUGGUGUGUAUAGGUGGCAGGUGUCAGAGUGGUGUGUAUAGAUGGCAGGUGUCAGAGUGGUGUGUAUAGAUGGCAGGUGUCAGAGUGGUGUGUAUAGAUGGCAGGUGUCAGAGUGGUGUGUAUAGAUGGCAGGUGUCAGAGUGGUGUGUAUAGAUGGCAGGUGUCAGAGUGGUGUGUAUAGGUGGCAGGUGUCAGAGUGGUGUGUAUAGGUGGCAGGUGUCAGAGUGGUGUGUAUAGAUGGCAGGUGUCAGAGUGGUGUGUAUAGAUGGCAGGUGUCAGAGUGGUGUGUAUAGAUGGCAGGUGUCAGAGUGGUGUGUAUAGAUGGCAGGUGUCAGAGUGGUGUGUAUAGGUGGCAGGUGUCAGAGUGGUGUGUAUAGGUGGCAGGUGUCAGAGUGGUGUGUAUAGGUGGCAGGUGUCAGAGUGGUGUGUAUAGAUGGCAGGUGUCAGAGUGGUGUGUAUAGAUGGCAGGUGUCAGAGUGGUGUGUAUAGAUGGCAGGUGUCAGAGUGGUGUGUAUAGAUGGCAGGUGUCAGAGUGGUGUGUAUAGGUGGCAGGUGUCAGAGUGGUGUGUAUAGAUGGCAGGUGUCAGAGUGGUGUGUAUAGGUGGCAGGUGUCAGAGUGGUGUGUAUAGGUGGCAGGUGUCAGAGUGGUGUGUAUAGGUGGCAGGUGUCAGAGUGGUGUGUAUAGGUGGCAGGUGUCAGAGUGGUGUGUAUAGGUGGCAGGUGUCAGAGUGGUGUGUAUAGGUGGCAGGUGUCAGAGUGGUGUGUAUAGAUGGCAGGUGUCAGAGUGGUGUGUAUAGGUGGCAGGUGUCAGAGUGGUGUGUAUAGGUGGCAGGUGUCAGAGUGGUGUGUAUAGGUGGCAGGUGUCAGAGUGGUGUGUAUAGGUGGCAGGUGUCAGAGUGGUGUGUAUAGAUGGCAGGUGUCAGAGUGGUGUGUAUAGAUGGCAGGUGUCAGAGUGGUGUGUAUAGAUGGCAGGUGUCAGAGUGGUGUGUAUAGGUGGCAGGUGUCAGAGUGGUGUGUAUAGGUGGCAGGUGUCAGAGUGGUGUGUAUAGGUGGCAGGUGUCAGAGUGGUGUGUAUAGAUGGCAGGUGUCAGAGUGGUGUGUAUAGAUGGCAGGUGUCAGAGUGGUGUGUAUAGGUGGCAGGUGUCAGAGUGGUGUGUAUAGAUGGCAGGUGUCAGAGUGGUGUGUAUAGAUGGCAGGUGUCAGAGUGGUGUGUAUAGAUGGCAGGUGUCAGAGUGGUGUGUAUAGGUGGCAG